GUCGAACGAUGAUCCCAGCUUGCUGGGGGAUUAGUGGCGAACGGGUGAGUAACACGUGAGUAACCUGCCCUUGACUCUGGGAUAAGCCUGGGAAACUGGGUCUAAUACCGGAUACGACCAUCUGGCGCAUGUCAUGGUGGUGGAAAGCUUUUGUGGUUUUGGAUGGACUCGCGGCCUAUCAGCUUGUUGGUGGGGUAAUGGCCUACCAAGGCGACGACGGGUAGCCGGCCUGAGAGGGUGACCGGCCACACUGGGACUGAGACACGGCCCAGACUCCUACGGGAGGCAGCAGUGGGGAAUAUUGCACAAUGGGCGCAAGCCUGAUGCAGCGACGCCGCGUGAGGGAUGACGGCCUUCGGGUUGUAAACCUCUUUCAGUAGGGAAGAAGCGUAAGUGACGGUACCUGCAGAAGAAGCGCCGGCUAACUACGUGCCAGCAGCCGCGGU
rnacentral:rRNA from 1 species